UUCCCGGGCUCCAGCUGCAGUGCUGGCAGGGGGCGGCUCCUGGCGUCCAUGCUGCUGGGCCUCAGCUCUCGCCAGGCAGGAGGCACCCAAGACCCUGCAGCCGGCUGGUCCCUGGGGAGGAGCCACUCGGCCUCUGCUCCUUCCCUGACUCUGAUUCUACUCAGAAUCAAGGAGUCUUUGUCUGUCUGGAGAGAACAUCAGCAACAAAGAGUCAGCACUUUGGAAAAGUCUCCAGAACGUGGUUGUUUUCCAUCAAGGCUCCUGCCGAGGGUGAGGUGUGGGGAUGAUGUCAACGCAGGGUCUGAGGAAACCCCACCUGCAACCUUCGUCUGGAGCAACACAUGCCAGAAGCCCUAGUGACAACAAGGACGCACACAGGAUCCCCUGCCUGAUCACGGUGCUCACAUCUGGAACCUGGUCGAUAACAGCACCCAGAGCAGACACAAUGAUGAGAGACGCAAAGACUCAGGCCAGCAACACAGGGAGCAGCAUGAACACAGCAUCGGGGGGAGCAUGUGACCUGCAGUGCAGGUGCGGAGCAAGACAGGAGGAAAACCAGGGAGCCCCGAGUGCAGUGGUGGGCGUACAGAGGGCAUAGGGCUAGGAUGGUGGGAGGGCAGGGUACAGUGGAACAGGGGCCCCAAGGCUCUGAUUCACCCCUCAGGAGGCCCGAGGAGGGAGUAGGAGUCGGGGGCAGGGCCUCAGGAUUUGCCUGAAAAUGGGAUCCUGAGGGGGCAGAAGAGUGUGCCAGCUGCUUCCUGUGUGUCCCUGUCCUUGGCCAAGUUUCCGUAUGUAAGGAGAAUACUGCAUACAUGUGCUUGACAGUUUCCCACCAUAUGCAUCAUCCGCGUUUCCCCAGUUUGUCAUUUUCUUUUGAAUUGGAAGGAACAGGGAAUAAAGAGAGAA